rnacentral:rRNA from 1 species
AGCAGCCGCGGUAAUUCCAGCUCCAAUAGCGUAUAUUAAAGUUGUUGCAGUUAAAAAGCUCGUAGUUGAAUUUCGGAAUCAAUAUAUCGGUCGUGCCAUUGGUACGUACUGGUAUCAUUGGUUUCUCCUUUCUGACGAACCAUGAUGUCAUUAAUUUGGUGUUAUGGGAAGUUAGGACUGUUACUUUGAAAAAAUUAGAGUGUUUAAAGCAGGCUUUAGCUUGAAUACAUUAGCAUGGAAUAAUGAAAUAGGACGUUCGAACCUAUUUUGUUGGUUUCUAGGAUCAACGUAAUGAUUAAUAGGGAUAGUUGGGGGCAUUAGUAUUCAAUUGUCAGAGGUGAAAUUCUUGGAUUUAUUGAAGACUAACUACUGCGAAAGCAUUUGCCAAGGAUGUUUUCAUUAAUCAAGAACGAAAGUUAGGGGAUCGAAGACGAUCAGAUACCGUCGUAG